CCUACGGGAGGCAGCAGUGAGGAAUAUUGGUCAAUGGACGAGAGUCUGAACCAGCCAAGUAGCGUGAAGGAUGACUGCCCUAUGGGUUGUAAACUUCUUUUAUAUGGGAAUAAAAUGUUCCACGUGUGGGAUUUUGUAUGUACCAUAUGAAUAAGGAUCGGCUAACUCCGUGCCAGCAGCCGCGGUAAUACGGAGGAUCCGAGCGUUAUCCGGAUUUAUUGGGUUUAAAGGGAGCGUAGGUGGAUUGUUAAGUCAGUUGUGAAAGUUUGCGGCUCAACCGUAAAAUUGCAGUUGAAACUGACAGUCUUGAGUACAGUAGAGGUGGGCGGAAUGCGUGGUGUAGCGGUGAAAUGCUUAGAUAUCACGAAGAACUCCGAUUGCGAAGGCAGCUCACUGGACUGCAACUGACACUGAGGCUCGAAAGCGUGGGGAGCAAACAGGAUUAGAUACCCCAGUAGUC
rnacentral:rRNA from 1 species